rnacentral:rRNA from 1 species
ACGAGUGGCGGACGGGUGAGUAAUGUCUGGGAAACUGCCUGAUGGAGGGGGAUAACUACUGGAAACGGUAGCUAAUACCGCAUAACGUCGCAAGACCAAAGAGGGGGACCUUCGGGCCUCUUGCCAUCGGAUGUGCCCAGAUGGGAUUAGCUAGUAGGUGGGGUAACGGCUCACCUAGGCGACGACCCCUAGCUGGUCUGAGAGGAUGACCAGCCACACUGGAACUGAGACACGGUCCAGACUCCUACGGGAGGCAGCAUG